GGGUAGUAUUUUUAACCUAAAGAAUUUGGCGGUUCUUAAACUUAUUAGAGGAACCUGUCCUGUAAUCGAUAGUCCACGAGCUUAGUUACCUACUUUUGUUAGCAGUUUAUAUACCGCCGUUUAAGUGGCUAAAAUAAUAGUCUUCUGAAAUCAAUUAGUUGAGAAAAUCAGGUCAAGGUGUAGCUUAUAGGUAGGAAGAGAUGGGUUACAAUAAAAAUUUAUAUGGAUCUUCUUUCUUAAAAGGGGAAUGAAAUUGGAUUUAAAAGUAAGGAUUUAAAUCUCUGAAAAGAGCUCUUAAGAAUGUACACUG
rnacentral:rRNA from 1 species